AUGUGUAUCUGUGGUCGGCACGUCUGGUAGCAUCUCUGGCUGCUGUUGACCUUGUUUUUGGAGUAAAACACGGUGGAAGCUGAAUUAGUGAGGAUGACUCCUGCUCCUGUCAUCUCUAAGCUCCUCACACAUCUUUACCUGCACAUGAGGAAAAUCACUCCUGUAGAAUGCAGAUGUUCAGAGGGAGAUGAUGCCACAUCUGGUCCAGCUGAUGGAAGGUCUUGAAGUUCUCUGACUGGCCUCGACUGAAGAUGGUCGUCUCACUGGAUUUAAGGUUCAGAUGCUCAGUAACAAACUCCACCAAUGUGCCAACAAGGAAGCUUUAGAUUUAUUAAAUGUUGCUAUGAAGGUUUCGCUGUUUUUCUUUGUGAAUGCAAUGUGCUCCAACUGAAACUUGAAUUAGAACUUAGAAGUAAAUCCUUCCACCUGAAAGGAUUUAGUUGCAUUAAUAACCUCAUAACAUUCUAAUUUUUAUUCCAGUCUUGGUUGAAAAUAGAAUCUCUGUAUUGAUUCAGGUAAAAACUGAACUUCACAGCAUGUUGGAGCAAAACAACCAGAUGAAAACUGUGAUGGUGUUGGAUUGUCAGACCGUAAUGUUGCAGCUCAAAGCAGCUUUUCUAUCUCAGUUCAUUCUGACAUUCAGCUAUGAUUCAACACAGCAGAUGGUGAUCCAUGCUGUGGAAGUCUCACAUCUCCUGAUUUAAUGGAGCUGCUUUGCACUUUUUACACUGUUUAUUUACCAACACUUAAUUUAAUAAAAGUCCCAUCUAGUUUUUAUGAGGAAUGUGAUGUUUUAAUUUCUCUGUGAAUAACUGCAGUGUAAUGGAACAGCUGGAGUUGUAACAUCUGUCCUGAUAUUGAUCAUGAAGUAUUGGUCAGAAUACUUAUGGUUAGCAGUCAUCCCUGAAGUUUUACAUUAAAAUCUUUACUUGUGUUGUGAACUUUGCUAAGAAGCAGAAACGUUAGCGUUGCCAUGGAUACAUGAGUGUUAAAUUCUGCCCAUGUUUCCAUUUUGGGAAAUUCAGUCCAGUUCCAGAAUGUGGAGGAAUUUAGUCUCACAAUCACAGACAACAAAUAUUAUCUGAAAGUCGGGUUAUUGUUGUUUAUCAGCACAAUACAAAAAGAUUAAUGUUAGAAAUAUUCCACUUAAGACUCUAGAAUAUCAUAAUUUAUGUAAAUUUUUAUAAUUUUCACACCAAACAUUUACUGGACUGAUUUAAAUAUUAAAAUCACUCCUUUCUAAUCCUCUGCUGUACGUUCAAACCUGAGGCCUUAAAUAGAAACACACAAGUAUCUGAUUGAAGGAACUUCUGCAGAGUCCUGGUUUCAGAACAUGAUGAUAGAAUUAUAGACAAACUUUAACAAAAGCUGCCUGAGAGUUUACAGGUUUUUAUGUUGGAUUUCUUCAGGAAUUUAAUGAGCGUUAUCAGCAAUAAUCAAGUGUUCAUUUGAUGAACUUCAUUUCCUAAAACAUACAGAAUUGGAGCUCAUAUCUUUGGCAGCUGUAAAGUUUCUGCUCCUUCAAAGUUCACAACACAAUGAAUGAAUUCCUAAAACACUCUCAAUGCUGGAGAGCGUUUGUGAUGCUGAAGCAGUGACCAGUUUUUCUGUUUCUUCUCUGGAGAUGCACAAUGAGGGACGUCUGCAGCGACUGAGAAAGAGUCUCACCACAUCCUGACAUGAGGAAAAAGACUUUAUUGAAGACUACAAUGAGAAAAACUAUCAGACAGCAGACGGCUGCAUUCAAGUCUGUAGCUGCUGAAUUCAUGGAUGAAUCAUCUGGCACUAGAGAAGAAGACCAUCAAACAUCCACGUCAGCUGAUGGAGGUCCAAGAGUCUCACCGAACAACCAACCUACAGAGUGAAGACCUCGAAUCUGAUUGGACGGCCUCCUAUUCAGCCACAUGUGUGAAAAAAUACCUCUAAGUUGAUUUGUUUUCUAAAAUAA